rnacentral:tRNA from 1 species
GAGGGUGCAGCUCAGUGGUAGAGUACAUGCUUAGCAUGCACAAGGUCCCGGGUUCAAUCCCUGGUACCUCCA